AGUGCACAUGGUGGAUGCCUUGGCAGUCAGAGGCGAUGAAAGACGUGAUAGCCUGCGAUAAGCGUCGGUGAGGUGGCAAUAUCCUGUGACCCGGCGAUUUCUGAAUGGGGAAACCCAACCAACACAAGUUGGUUAUUACACAGUUUACUGUGUAAGGCAAACCGGGAGAAGUGAAACAUCUCAGUACCCCGAGGAAAAGACAUCAAAUGAGAUUCCGUAAGUAGCGGCGAGCGAACACGGAGGAGCCGAUCAAUUUUACAGUAGCAAAAUGGCGUGGGAAAGCCAACCAUAGUAGGUGAUAGUCCUGUAUGCGAAACUGUUUAAGCGACAUAUUAAGUAGGGCGGAACACGAGAAAUUCUGUCUGAAGAUGGGGGGACCAUCCUCCAAGGCUAAAUACUCCUGACUGACCGAUAGUGAACCAGUACCGUGAGGGAAAGGCGAAAAGAACCCCUGUUAGGGGAGUGAAAUAGAACCUGAAACCGUGUGCAUACAAGCAGUCGGAGCGGACUUGUUCCGUGACGGCGUACCUUUUGUAUAAUGGGUCAGCGACUUAUAUUCUGUAGCAAGGUUAACCGAAUAGGGGAGCCGUAGGGAAACCGAGUCUUAAUAGGGCGAAUGAGUUGCAGGGUAUAGACCCGAAACCGAGUGAUCUAUCCAUGAGCAGGUUGAAAGUGCCGUAACAGGCACCGGAGGACCGAACCCACUGUCGUUGAAAAGCCAGGGGAUGACUUGUGGAUAGGGGUGAAAGGCUAAUCAAACUCGGUGAUAGCUGGUUCUCCCCGAAAGCUAUUUAGGUAGCGCCUCGGACGAACACCAUUGGGGGUAGAGCACUGUUUCGGCUAGGGGGUCAUCCCGACUUACCAAACCGAUGCAAACUCCGAAUACCGAUGAGUGAUAUCCGGGAGACAGACGGCGGGUGCUAACGUCCGUCGUCAAGAGGGAAACAACCCAGACCGCCAGCUAAGGCCCCAAAUUCCUAGUUAAGUGGGAAACGAUGUGGGAAGGCACAGACAGCUAGGAGGUUGGCUUAGAAGCAGCCACCCUUUAAAGAAAGCGUAAUAGCUCACUAGUCGAGUCGGCCUGCGCGGAAGAUGUAACGGGGCUCAAACUAGGAGCCGAAGCUGCGGAUUUAAUUGUUUCAAUUAAGUGGUAGGGGAGCGUUGUGUAAGCCUGUGAAGGUGCACUGUAAGGUGUGCUGGAGGUAUCACAAGAGCGAAUGCUGACGUGAGUAACGACAAAACGGGUGAAAAGCCCGUUCGCCGGAAGACCAAGGGUUCCAGUCCAACGUUAAUCGGGGCUGGGUGAGUCGACCCCUAAGGCGAGGCCGAAAGGCGUAGUCGAUGGGAAAUCGGUUAAUAUUCCGAUACUUGUUUAUGAUGCGAUGGAGGGACGGAGAAGGUUAUGCCAGCCUGGCGAUGGUUGUCCAGGUGGAAGGAUGUAGUUAGACUGAGUAGGCAAAUCCGCUCGGUUAUUAAUGAGAUCUGAUAGCAAGCCAGUUUACUGGCGAAGUGGCAAAUACCCUGCUUCCAGGAAAAGCUUCUAAGCGAUAGUCAUAAACGAAUCGUACCCGAAACCGACACAGGUGGUCAGGUAGAGAAUACCAAGGCGCUUGAGAGAACUCUGCUGAAGGAACUAGGCAAAAUGGUACCGUAACUUCGGGAGAAGGUACGCUGCCGAUGGUGAUGAAACUUGCUUUCUGAGCUGUUGGCAGUCGCAGAUACCAGGCUGCUGCAACUGUUUAUUAAAAACACAGCACUCUGCAAACACGAAAGUGGACGUAUAGGGUGUGAUGCCUGCCCGGUGCUGGAAGGUUAAUUGAUGGGGUUAGCGUAAGCGAAGCUCUUGAUCGAAGCCCCAGUAAACGGCGGCCGUAACUAUAACGGUCCUAAGGUAGCGAAAUUCCUUGUCGGGUAAGUUCCGACCUGCACGAAUGGCAUAAUGAUGGCAGCGCUGUCUCCAGCAGAGACUCAGUGAAAUCGAAAUCGCAGUGAAGAUGCUGUGUACCCGCGGCUAGACGGAAAGACCCCGUGAACCUUUACUACAGCUUUACAUUGAACUUUGACCUAACUUGUGUAGGAUAGGUGGGAGGCUUUGAAGCAGAUACGCCAGUAUCUGUGGAGCCAACCUUGAAAUACCACCCUGGUUAUGUUGGGGUUCUAACUUGGAUAUAACAGUAUCAAGGACAAUGUAUGGUGGGUAGUUUGACUGGGGCGGUCUCCUCCUAAAGAGUAACGGAGGAGUACGAAGGUGCGCUCAGAACGGUCGGAAAUCGUUCAAAGAGUAUAAAGGCAAAAGCGCGCUUAACUGCGAGACCCACAAGUCGAGCAGGUACGAAAGUAGGUCUUAGUGAUCCGGUGGUUCUGUAUGGAAGGGCCAUCGCUCAACGGAUAAAAGGUACUCUGGGGAUAACAGGCUGAUACCGCCCAAGAGUUCAUAUCGACGGCGGUGUUUGGCACCUCGAUGUCGGCUCAUCUCAUCCUGGGGCUGAAGCAGGUCCCAAGGGUAUGGCUGUUCGCCAUUUAAAGAGGUACGCGAGCUGGGUUUAGAACGUCGUGAGACAGUUCGGUCCCUAUCUACCGUGGGCGUUGGAAAUUUGAGAGGAUCUGCUCCUAGUACGAGAGGACCAGAGUGGACGAACCUCUGGUGUUUCGGUUGUCACGCCAGUGGCAUUGCCGAGUAGCUACGUUCGGAUGGGAUAACCGCUGAAAGCAUCUAAGCGGGAAGCCCACCUCAAGAUAAGAUUUCCCUAAGAGCCGUUGU
rnacentral:rRNA from 1 species